UUUGCGCGGAGAAUUUAACGGGGCUAAACCUGACACCGAAGCUUAGGCAAUCCAGUAAUGGAUUGGGUAGGGGAGCGUUGUAUACGCGGAGAAACAGUAGCGUAAGCGGCUGUGGAGUGUAUAGAAGUGAGAAUGCCGGAAUGAGUAGCGCGAAUGCAGUGAGAAUCUGCAUGGCCGAAAGCCUCAGGUUUUUGGAGGAAGGUUCGUCCGCUCCAAGUUAGUCGGGAGCUAAGGUGAGGCCGGAAGGCGUAGCCGAUGCACAGACGGUAGAGAUUCCGUCACCACCAAAAGAGUUAAGCACAGGGACACAUUUGAAGUCUCAGAGCCGGGUGUUGGUUCCGGUAGAGAUCGAGGGAAGUUAGUACCGAAGUCUGGGAUGGAAGAUGGCGAGAAAAGCUGUGUGUAUUUCUGAGGUGCCCGUACCGCAAACCGACACAGGUAGGUAGGAAGAAGAUUCUAAGGCCAACGGGAGAAGGGUUGUUAAGGAACUCGGCAAAUUGACCCCGUAACUUCGGGAGAAGGGGUGCUCCAGAGAUGGAGCCGCAGAGAAUCGGCCCAAGCAACUGUUUACCAAAAACACAGGUUUGUGCUAAAUCGAAAGAUGACGUAUACGAGCUGACGCCUGCCCGGUGCUGGAAGGUUAAGAGGAGAUGUGCAAGCAUUGAAUCGAAGCCCCAGUGAACGGCGGCCGUAACUAUAACGGUCCUAAGGUAGCGAAAUUCCUUGUCAGGUAAGUUCUGACCCGCACGAAAGGCGUAAUGAUUUGGGCACUGUCUCAACAGCCCGCCCGGCGAAAUUGUAGUACCGGUGAAGAUGCCGGUUACCCGCGACAAGACGGAAAGACCCCAUGGAGCUUUACUGUAGCCUAAUAUUGGGUUUCGAUGUUGCAUGCACAGGAUAGAUGGGACACUGGGAAACAAUCGCUUUGGCGGUUGCGGAGUGGCCGUUGGGAUACCAUCCUUGCGAUAUUGGAAUUCUAACCUGCGGCUCUGAAUCGAGUCGGGGGACAUUGUUAGGUGGGCAGUUUGACUGGGGCGGUCGCCUCCUAAAAAGUAACGGAGGCGUUCAAAGGUUCGCUCAGCUUGAACGGAAAUCAAGCAAAAGAGUGCAAACGCAGAAGCGAGCCUAACUGCGAGACUGACGGGUCGAGCAGUAACGAAAGUUGGAGUUAGUGAUCCGGUGGUAUGUGAGUGG
rnacentral:rRNA from 1 species